rnacentral:piRNA from 1 species
UAGUAAGUUGGGUCCUUUGUGAAGC